AGUCGGCUCCUGGAUUCCUUUGGAUGAAGGUGUAGUAGAACUCUCAGCUCCUCCUGCACCAUGCCUGCUUGGAAGCUGCCAUGCUUUCCGCCUUGAUGAUACUGGACUGAACCUUUGAACCUGUCUUGGCCACCCCCAAACCCAGCUGAAGAGGGAAUUGGUCUGGAGCAAAGCCUGUGAGCCAAAGGUGUGUGUGCUGAUCCGAGGAUGGAGUCUUCUGACCGAGGUGAAGUCUAUUGUCCUGCCACAUCUGCAGCUUCCUGCAAGAAGCCACCACCUGCUGAGCAGCUGAGCUUGCUUUCCUGACGAGAUGCUGACAAAGCAGGAAGGAGAUCCUGGCAAAGAGGGGGAUGGAUUUCCCCCCCUUUAAAAAUUCAGACUCAAGAAUUAAAGUUGAACCUUGAUCAGA
rnacentral:lncRNA from 1 species